AUGAACGCUGGCGGCGUGCCUAAUACAUGCAAGUCGAGCGAACGGACGAGAAGCUUGCUUCUCUGAUGUUAGCGGCGGACGGGUUAGUAACACGUGGAUAACCUACCUAUAAGACUGGGAUAACUUCGGGAAACCGUAGCUAAUACCGGAUAAUAUUUUGAACCGCAUGGUUCAAAAGUGAAAGACGGUCUUGCUGUCACUUAUAGAUGGAUCCGCGCUGCAUUAGCUAGUUGGUAAGGUAACGGCUUACCAAGGCAACGAUGCAUAGCCGACCUGAGAGGGUGAUCGGCCACACUGGAACUGAGACACGGUCCAGACUCCUACGGGAGGCAGCAGUAGGGAAUCUUCCGCAAUGGGCGAAAGCCUGACGGAGCAACGCCGCGUGAGUGAUGAAGGUCUUCGGAUCGUAAAACUCUGUUAUUAGGGAAGAACAUAUGUGUAAGUAACUGUGCACAUCUUGACGGUACCUAAUCAGAAAGCCACGGCUAACUACGUG
rnacentral:rRNA from 1 species